CGCGAAUGGCUCAUUACAACAGCUAUAAUUUACUUGAAUUUGACAACCCUACUUGGAUACCGGUGGUAAUUCUAGCGCUAAUACAUGCACCAAAGCUCCGACCGCGAGGGAAGAGCGCAUUUAUUAGAACAAAACCACACGGCUUCGGCCGUCCAAUGUUGACUCAGAAUAACUAAGCUGAUCGCAUGGUCUUGCACCGGCGACGUUUCUUUCAAGUAUCUGCCUUAUCAACUUUCGAUGGUAGUGUAUCUGACUACCAUGGUGAUGACGGGUAACGGAGGAUAAGGGUUCGACUCCGGAGAAGGGGCCUGAGAAAUGGCCACUACGUCUAAGGAUGGCAGCAGGCGCGCAAAUUACCCACUCUCAGUACGAGGAGGUAGUGACGAGAAAUAACAAGACCGUUCUCUAAAGAGGCCGGUCAUUGGAAUGGGUACAAUUUAAACCCUUUAACGAGUAUCUAUGAGAGGGCAAGUCUGGCGCCAGCAGCCGCGGUAAUUCCAGCU
rnacentral:rRNA from 1 species